rnacentral:rRNA from 1 species
AUUGAACGCUGGCGGCAGGCCUAACACAUGCAAGUCGAACGAGUGGCGGACGGGUGAGUAACGUCUGGGAAACUGCCUGAUGGAGGGGGAUCACUACUGGAAACGGUAGCUAAUACCGCAUCCCAUCGGCUGUGCCCAUAUCGGAUUAGCUAGUAGGUGGGGUAAUGGCUCACCUAGGCGACGAUCCCUCACUGGUCGGCUAGGAUGACCAGCAAAACUGGAACUGAGACACGGUCCAGACUCCUAAGGGAGGCAGCAGUGGGAAAUAUUGCACAAUGGGAGCAAGCCUGAUGCAGCAAUGCCGCGUGUAGGAAGAAGGCCUUCGGGUUUUAAAGUACGUUCAGCGGGGAGGCGUUACCCGCAGAAGAAGCACCGGCUAACUCCGUGCCAGCAGCCGCGGUAAUAC